UUCGAUCAUAGCUCUGCAGAUUGAACGCUGGCGGGAUGCUACAUGCAAGUCAGACGGCACGGACUUCGGUCUGGUGGCAGGUGGGAGCAGGUGAGUAAUGUAUCGGAACGUGCCUGAUAGCGGGGGAUAACUACGCGAAAGCGUAGCUAAUACCGCAUACGCCCUUCGGGAAAACAGGGGACCUUCCCGGGCCUCGCACUUCAUGAAGCAGCCGAUAUCAUGGAUUAGCUAGUUGGUGGGGUAACGGCUCGCAAGGCGACGAUCCGUAGCUGCUGAAGGACGACCGACCACACUGGGACUGAGACACGGCCCAGACUCCUACGGGAGAGGCAGCAGUGGGGGUACCCGGACUGUGGAAACCCUGAUCCCAGCCAUCCCGCGUGUGCGAUGAAGGCCUUCGGGUUAUGAACGCACAGCGGGAAAGAAACGUACAAGGAUAAUACCCCGUGCAACUGACGGUACCUGCAGAAUAAGCACCGGCUAACUACGUGCCAGCAGCCGCGGUAAUACGUAGGGUGCAAGCGUUAAUCGGAAUUUUUGGGCGUAAAAGCGUGCGCAGGCGGUUCGGAAAGAAAGAUGUGAAAUCCCAGAGCUUAACUGGAACUGCAUUUUUAACUACCGAGCUAGAGUGUGUCAGAGGGAGGUGGAAUUCCGCGUGUAGCAGUGAAAUGCGUAGAUAUGCCGGAAGACGCGAUGGCGAAGGCAGCCUCCUGGGGGAUAACACCCGGCGCUCAUGCACGAAAGCGUGGGAGCAAACGGGAUUAGAUACCCUGGUAGUCCACGCCUAAACGAUGUCAACUAGCUGUUGGGCCUUCGGGCCUUGGUAGCGCAGCUAACGCGUGAAGUUGACCGCCUGGGGAGUACGGUCAUAAAGAUUAAACUCGAAGAAAAGAUUGACGGGGACCCGCACAAGCGGUGGAUGAUGUGGAUUAAUUCGAUGCAACGCGAAAAGCCUUACCUACCCUUGACAUGUCUGGAUCCCAGAAGAUUUGGGAGUGCUCGCAAGAGAAGGAGAACCGGAACACAGGUGCUGCAUGGCUGUCGUCAGCUCGUGUCGUGAGAUGGUCUGCGGAGUUCGAAGUCCGCAACGAGCGCAACCCUUGUCAUUAGUUGCUACGAAGGGCGCCACAACAGAGACUGCCGGUGACAAACCGGAGGAAGGUGGGGAUGACGUCAAGUCCUCAUGGCCCUUAUGGGUGGGGCUACGUCUUACAAUGGUCGGGACAGAGGGUCGCCAACCCGCGAAGGGGAGCCAAUCCCCCAGAGAGCGAUCGUAGUCCGGAUCGCAGUCUGCAACUCGACUGCGUGAAGUCGGAAUCGCUAGUAAUCGCGGAUCAGCAUGUCGCGGUGAAUACGGUCCCGGGUCUUGUACACACCGCGUCACCACACCAUGGAGUGGGUUUACCGUGGAUUAUUUCAACAAUAAGGAGGGCGAUUACCACAGUAGGAUUCAUGACUGGG
rnacentral:rRNA from 1 species